rnacentral:rRNA from 1 species
UGCUGGAGGUAUCAGAAGUGCGAAUGCUGACAUAAGUAACGAUAAAGCGGGUGAAAAGCCCGCUCGCCGGAAGACCAAGGGUUCCUGUCCAACGUUAAUCGGGGCAGGGUGAGUCGACCCCUAAGGCGAGGCCGAAAGGCGUAGUCGAUGGGAAACGGGUUAAUAUUCCCGUACUUGGUGUUACUGCGAAGGGGGGACGGAGAAGGCUAUGUUGGCCGGGCGACGGUUGUCCCGGUUUAAGCGUGUAGGUGUGUGUUCCAGGUAAAUCCGGUUCACUUUAACACUGAGGCGUGACGACGAGGCACUACGGUGCUGAAGCAACAAAUGCCCUGCUUCCAGGAAAAGCCUCUAAGCAUCAGGUAACAUCAAAUCGUACCCCAAACCGACACAGGUGGUCAGGUAGAGAAUACCAAGGCGCUUGAGAGAACUCGGGUGAAGGAACUAGGCAAAAUGGUGCCGUAACUUCGGGAGAAGGCACGCUGACACGUAGGUGAAGUGAUUUACUCAUGGAGCUGAAGUCAGUCGAAGAUACCAGCUGGCUGCAACUGUUUAUUAAAAACACAGCACUGUGCAAACACGAAAGUGGACGUAUACGGUGUGACGCCUGCCCGGUGCCGGAAGGUUAAUUGAUGGGGUCAGCGCAAGCGAAGCUCCUGAUCGAAGCCCCGGUAAACGGCGGCCGUAACUAUAACGGUCCUAAGGUAGCGAAAUUCCUUGUCGGGUAAGUUCCGACCUGCACGAAUGGCGUAAUGAUGGCCAGGCUGUCUCCACCCGAGACUCAGUGAAAUUGAACUCGCUGUGAAGAUGCAGUGUACCCGCGGCAAGACGGAAAGACCCCGUGAACCUUUACUAUAGCUUGACACUGAACAUUGAGCCUUGAUGUGUAGGAUAGGUGGGAGGCUUUGAAGUGUGGACGCCAGUCUGCAUGGAGCCGGCCUUGAAAUACCACCCUUUAAUGUUUGAUGUUCUAACGUGGACCCGUGAUCCGGGUUGCGGACAGUGUCUGGUGGGUAGUUUGACUGGGGCGGUCUCCUCCUAAAGAGUAACGGAGGAGCACGAAGGUUGGCUAAUCCUGGUCGGACAUCAGGAGGUUAGUGCAAUGGCAUAAGCCAGCUUGACUGCGAGCGUGACGGCGCGAGCAGGUGCGAAAGCAGGUCAUAGUGAUCCGGUGGUUCUGAAUGGAAGGGCCAUCGCUCAACGGAUAAAAGGUACUCCGGGGAUAACAGGCUGAUACCGCCCAAGAGUUCAUAUCGACGGCGGUGUUUGGCACCUCGAUGUCGGCUCAUCACAUCCUGGGGCUGAAGUAGGUCCCAAGGGUAUGGCUGUUCGCCAUUUAAAGUGGUACGCGAGCUGGGUUUAGAACGUCGUGAGACAGUUCGGUCCCUAUCUGCCGUGGGCGCUGGAGAACUGAGGGGGGCUGCUCCUAGUACGAGAGGACCGGAGUGGACGCAUCACUGGUGUUCGGGUUGUCAUGCCAAUGGCACUGCCCGGUAGCUAAAUGCGGAAGAGAUAAGUGCUGAAAGCAUCUAAGCACGAAACUUGCCCCGAGAUGAGUUCUCCCUGAGACUUUAGGUCUCCUGAAGGAACGUUGAAGACGACGACGUUGAUAGGCCGGGUGUGUAAGCGCAGCGAUGCGUUGAGCUAACCGGUACUAAUGAACCGUGAGGCUUAACCUUACAACGCCGAAG